rnacentral:rRNA from 1 species
AUUGAACGCUGGCGGCAGGCCUAACACAUGCAAGUCGAGCGGAUGAAGGGAGCUUGCUCCUGGAUUCAGCGGCGGACGGGUGAGUAAUGCCUAGGAAUCUGCCUGGUAGUGGGGGAUAACGUCCGGAAACGGGCGCUAAUACCGCAUACGUCCUGAGGGAGAAAGUGGGGGAUCUUCGGACCUCACGCUAUCAGAUGAGCCUAGGUCGGAUUAGCUAGGUGGUGGGGUAAAGGCCUACCAAGGCGACGAUCCGUAACUGGUCUGAGAGGAUGAUCAGUCACACUGUAACUGAGACACGGUCCAGACUCCUACGGGAGGCAGCAGUGGGGAAUAUUGGACAAUGGGCGGAAGCGUGGUCCAGUCAUGUCGGGUGGGUGAAGAAGGUCUUCUGAUUGUAAAGCACUUUAAGUUGGGAGGAAGGGCAGUAAGUUAAUACCUUGCUGUUUUGACGUUACCAACAGAAUAAGCACCGGCUAACUUCGUG